AUUGAACGCUGGCGGCAUGCCUUACACAUGCAAGUCGAACGGCAGCACGGGUGCUUGCACCUGGUGGCGAGUGGCGAACGGGUGAGUAAUACAUCGGAACGUACCUUAUCGUGGGGGAUAACGCAGCGAAAGCUGUGCUAAUACCGCAUACGCCCUGAGGGGGAAAGCGGGGGAUCGCAAGACCUCGCGCGAUUAGAGCGGCCGAGGCCUGAGUAGCUAGUUGGGAGGGUAAAAGCCCACCAAGGCGACGAACAGUAGCUGGUCUGAGAGGACGAUCAGCCACACUGGGACUGAGACACGGCCCAGACUCCUACGGGAGGCAGCAGUGGGGAAUUUUGGACAAUGGGGGCAACCCUGAUCCAGCAAUGCCGCGUGGGUGAAGAAGGCCUUCGGGUUGUAAAGCUCUUUUGUCAGGGAAGAAACACCGGCUCUAACACAGUCCGGGAAUGACGGUACCUGAAGAAUAAGCACCGGCUAACUACGUGCCAGCCGCCGCCGUAA
rnacentral:rRNA from 1 species